GGGCAGGGGGUCGGUAUAUACAUGCAAGUCGAGCGGUAGAGAGAAGCUUGCUUCUCUUGAGAGCGGCGGACGGGUGAGUAAUGCCUAGGAAUCUGCCUGGUAGUGGGGGAUAACGUUCGGAAACGGACGCUAAUACCGCAUACGUCCUACGGGAGAAAGCAGGGGACCUUCGGGCCUUGCGCUAUCAGAUGAGCCUAGGUCGGAUUAGCUAGUUGGUGAGGUAAUGGCUCACCAAGGCGACGAUCCGUAACUGGUCUGAGAGGAUGAUCAGUCACACUGGAACUGAGACACGGUCCAGACUCCUACGGGAGGCAGCAGUGGGGAAUAUUGGACAAUGGGCGAAAGCCUGAUCCAGCCAUGCCGCGUGUGUGAAGAAGGUCUUCGGAUUGUAAAGCACUUUAAGUUGGGAGGAAGGGCAGUUACCUAAUACGUGAUUGUUUUGACGUUACCGACAGAAUAAGCACCGGCUAACUCUGUGCCAGCAGCCGCGGUAAUACAGAGGGUGCAAGCGUUAAUCGGAAUUACUGGGCGUAAAGCGCGCGUAGGUGGUUAGUUAAGUUGGAUGUGAAAUCCCCGGGCUCAACCUGGGAACUGCAUUCAAAACUGACUGACUAGAGUAUGGUAGAGGGUGGGUGGGAAUUUCCUGUGUAGCGGUGAAAUGCGUAGAUAUAGGAAGGAACACCAGUGGCGAAGGCGACCACCUGGACUGAUACUGACACUGAGGUGCGAAAGCGUGGGGAGCAAACAGGAUUAGAUACCCUGGUAGUCCACGCCGUAACGAUGUCAACUAGCCGUUGGGA
rnacentral:rRNA from 1 species